UUUACUAAUAACAUUGUACUUGUUCAAUGCAGAAAUCAAAGAUAAUAAAAAGGAAAAACAUUUUAUAUUAAAACAAAUGCCCUCAAAUAACAAAUUUUAUCAUAUUUCGUACAUAAUUUCAGAUAACACAAGACCAUCAUCUGUAUGUAUAAACAAACUGAACUUUACCCUUACUUGGUACACCAAAAUACAUUUUCAAAUGUCAACAUACUUCUGUAUAUGUUUCUACAUUCAGUGGUCACAUUUUAUCCCACGCUGUAAAUUCACUGAAAUGUAUUUAUAAAAGCCAUUGUAUGGAUUCUUCUUAAUACACUGAUAUUUUAAGCA
rnacentral:lncRNA from 1 species